rnacentral:rRNA from 1 species
AGAAUGCUAAUACCGCAUAAGACCACACUCCCUACGGUGAGAGUGGUAAAAGGCGCCUCAAAGCCACCAGAGGAUGAGCCUGCGUCCCAUCAGCUUGUUGGUAAGGUAACGGCUUACCAAGGCGAAGAGGGUAGCUGGUCUGAGAGGAUGAUCAGCCACACUGGUACUGGAACACGGACCAGACUCCUACGGGAGGCAGCAGUGAGGAAUAUUGGGCAAUGGGCGAAAGUGACCCAGCCACGCCGCGUGUGUGAUGAAGGCCUUCGGGUCGUAAAGCACUGUGGGGAGAGACGAAACUGCGCAGGAGGAAAUGCCUGCGUACUGACGGUACCUCCUUAGCAAGCACCGGCUAACUCUGUGCCAGCAGCCGCGGUAAUACAGAGGGUGCAAACGUUGCUCGGAUUUACUGGGCGUAAAGCGCGUGUAGGCGGACUCGCAAGUCGGUUGUGAAAUCCCUGGGCUCAACCUAGGAACUGCAUCCGAAACUGCUUGUCUUGAGUAAUGGAGAGGGUGGCGGAAUUCCCGGUGUAGAGGUGAAAUUCGUAGAUAUCGGGAGGAACAUCAGUGGCGAAGCGGCCACCUGGACAUUUACUGACGCUGAGACGCGAAACUCGGGGAGCAAACAGGAUUAGAUACCCUGGUAGUCCACGCCGUAAACGAUGAGCAUUAGGUG